rnacentral:tRNA from 1 species
UGGGGUGUAGCUCAGUGGCAGAAUGCUUGCCUCGCAGGUAUGAGGUGCUGGGUUUGAUCCUCAACACCACAU